rnacentral:piRNA from 1 species
UGUGGAAUUCUAAAACUCCCAUUUAAAUAGGC